CGCACAUUGCGCUUCCUGGUAUUCCGGGGAGCAUGCUCGUUUCAGAAUCAUUUAAAACUCACAAACCUCAUGGCAAUUGCCAUGUUGGGGCGUGGAUAUGGGUUUUUUCGCUUUGGCGAAUGCCUUAAAAUGAUCGUAUGCCUGCAAACCAUGUAGGCGGUGUACAAUCAAAGUGCAACAGAAUAACAUUUGUUACAUAUUUUGAUUGUGGAUCGCUCAUCAUGGCUUACGGUCUGUAUACCAAAUUAGAAUUACAUUGUUGGGCAGCAUUUUGUGCCGCUCAGCUUUGAAAACUUGGUCUGAAAUCGAGCAAGAAAACCCGCUGAACUUAA
rnacentral:misc_RNA from 1 species